rnacentral:tRNA from 1 species
CAGGAUAGAGCUUGUUAUAAAGCAUUUUAUUUACAUUAAAAAGUUAGUUGUGAAAAUCAUCUUAUUCUGAAUAAAUAAUUUUAUUAAGUU